rnacentral:rRNA from 1 species
AACUGAAGAGUUUGAUCAUGGCUCAGAUUGAACGCUGGCGGCAGGCUUAACACAUGCAAGUCGAGCGGAGAGAGGUAGCUUGCUACUGAUCUUAGCGGCGGACGGGUGAGUAAUGCUUAGGAAUCUGCCUAUUAGUGGGGGACAACAUUUCGAAAGGAAUGCUAAUACCGCAUACGUCCUACGGGAGAAAGCAGGGGAUCUUCGGACCUUGCGCUAAUAGAUGAGCCUAAGUCGGAUUAGCUAGUUGGUGGGGUAAAGGCCUACCAAGGCGACGAUCUGUAGCGGGUCUGAGAGGAUGAUC